UACGUAGGGUGCGAGCGUUAAUCGGAAUUACUGGGCGUAAAGUGUGCGCAGGUGGCUGAGCAAGUCGAGUGUGAAAUCCCCGGGCUUAACUUGGGAAUUGCGCUCGGAACUACUUGGCUCGAGUGUGGCAGAGGAAGGUGGAAUUCCAGGUGUAGCGGUGAAAUGCGUAGAGAUCUGGAGGAACACCGAUGGCGAAGGCAGCCUUCUGGGCCAACACUGACGCUCAUGCACGAAAGCGUGGGGAGCAAACAGG
rnacentral:rRNA from 1 species